GAUGAACGCUGGCUACAGGCUUAACACAUGCAAGUCGAGGGGAAACGGCAUUGGGUGCUUGCACCGAAUGGACGUCGACCGGCGCACGGGUGAGUAACGCGUAUCCAACCUUCCCGUUACUGCGGGAUAACCUGCCGAAAGGCAGACUAAUACCGCAUGUUCUUCGAUGACGGCAUCAGAUUCGAAGCAAAGAUCCGUCGGUAACGGAGGGGGAUGCGUCUGAUUAGCUUGUUGGCGGGGCGACGGCCCACCAAGGCGACGAUCAGUAGGGGUUCUGAGAGGAAGGUCCCCCACAUUGGAACUGAGACACGGUCCAAACUCCUACGGGAGGCAGCAGUGAGGAAUAUUGGUCAAUGGGCGGAAGCCUGAACCAGCCAAGUAGCGUGCAGGAUGACGGCCCUACGGGUUGUAAACUGCUUUUAUGCGGGGAUAAAGUGAGGGACGCGUCCCUUUUUGCAGGUACCGCAUGAGUAAGGACCGGCUAAUUCCGUGCCAGCAGCCGCGGUAAUACGGAAGGUCCGGGCGUUAUCCGGAUUUAUUGGGUUUAAAGGGAGCGUAGGCCGGGGAUUAAGUGUGUUGUGAAAUGUAGGCGCCCAACGUCUGACUUGCAGCGCAUACUGGUUCCCUUGAGUACGCGCAACGCCGGCGGAAUUCGUCGUGUAGCGGUGAAAUGCUUAGAUAUGACGAAGAACCCCGAUUGCGAAGGCAGCCGGCGGGAGCGCAACUGACGCUGAAGCUCGAAGGUGCGGGUAUCGAACAGG
rnacentral:rRNA from 1 species